GUGUUCUCGGUUAAUCCAGUCCAAAUUAUUAAGCCUUCAUAAUCCUCCAGGACACGUAAUCAGAUAAGGCUGCAACUGAUUUGAAGAAAUCCUUAAUUGCAGAAAUCAUCAAGCCUUAAAGUGCUGAAUAUCACAGAACACAAAGAAAAGAGAAAGAGAAACUGACAGAGCCUAUAAAUGUUGCACGAAGGUUCAGAUACAUACAGUUCUGCUGGCUUUUUAAGGAGCAGUGUUUCCUAUAUCCUGAGGCAGAUGGACAUGUUGGGAUGGAG
rnacentral:lncRNA from 1 species